CCUACGGGUGGCUGCAGUGGGGGAUAUUGCACAAUGGAGGAAACUCUGAUGCAGCGACGCCGCGUGAGGGAAGACGGUCUUCGGAUUGUAAACCUCUGUCUUUGGGGAAGAAAAUGACGGUACCCAAAGAGGAAGCUCCGGCUACCUCCGUGCCAGCAGCCGCGGUAAUACGUAGGGAGCGAGCGUUGUCCGGAAUUACUGGGUGUAAAGGGAGCGUAGGCGGGCGAGAAAGUUGAAUGUUAAAUCUACCGGCUUAACUGGUAGCUGCGUUCAAAACUUCUUGUCUUGAGUGAAGUAGAGGGAGGGGGAAUUCCUAGGGUAGCGGGGAAAUGCGGAGAGAUUAGGAGGAACACCAGGGGCGAAGGCGGCCUGCUGGGCUUUAACGGACGGUGAGGAUCGAAAGCGUGGGGAGCAAACAGGAUUAGAUACCCUAGUAGUC
rnacentral:rRNA from 1 species